GACGGAGGAUGCAAGUGUUAUCCGGAAUCACUGGGCGUAAAGCGCACGUAGGCGGAUUUGUAAGUCAGGGGUGAAAUCCCGGGGCUCAACCUCGGAACUGCCUUUGAUACUGCAAAUCUCGAGUCCGGAAGAGGUGAGUGGAAUUCCUAGUGUAGAGGUGAAAUUCGUAGAUAUUAGGAAGAACACCAGUGGCGAAGGCGGCUCACUGGUCCGGUACUGACGCUGAGGAGCGAAAGCGUGGGGAGCGAACAGG
rnacentral:rRNA from 1 species